rnacentral:rRNA from 1 species
GAUGAACGCUGGCGGCGUGCCUAAUACAUGCAAGUAGAACGCUGAAGGAGGAGCUUGCUCUUCUGGAUGAGUUGCGAACGGGUGAGUAACGCGUAGGUAACCUGCCUGGUAGCGGGGGAUAACUAUUGGAAACGAUAGCUAAUACCGCAUGACAACAGUUAUUGCAUGAUAACUGUUUAAAAGGGGCAACUGCUCCACUACCAGAUGGACCUGCGUUGUAUUAGCUAGUUGGUGAGGUAACGGCUCACCAAGGCGACGAUACAUAGCCGACCUGAGAGGGUGAUCGGCCACACUGGGACUGAGACACGGCCCAGACUCCUACGGGAGGCAGCAGUAGGGAAUCUUCGGCAAGGGACGGAAGUCUGACCGAGCAACGCCGCGGGAGUGAAGAAGGGUUUCGGAUCGUAAAGCUCUGUUGUAAGAGAAGAACGAGUGUGAGAGUGGAAAGUUCACACUGUGACGGUAUCUUACCAGAAAGGGACGGCUAACUACGUG